rnacentral:misc_RNA from 1 species
GGAUAGUGGAGCGUGCUGGCCCCCUCUCAUGGGUCGGCUCCUCUCAAAUGCAUUCGCGGAAUCGACUUUGGUCCGUUUCGGUCAUCAGUGUGAUAAAUGUUGCGCUGUUGGCUAGGAUCGAGGUGCCGCAUACAAUGGUCUUCGGACAAUUUUAUAAACCAUUUGACCUCAAAUCAGGUAGGACUACCCGCUGAACUUAA